GAUCCUUGAAGUGAUGGAGUCUGUAUUCAAGGUUUGAUUAAAUCUAGUGGAGCUAUUGGAAAUCCUACUGGGGUAGGGUAUGGGUUUUCUUCCUUGAUCAAGGAGUUUCCACAUAAAACUUGUUGUGUACUUGUUUAUUUACUUUGCAAGUUUGUUUCUUGAGUUUUCUGAUUUGCAUAUGUUAGUUAAGACCAGGUCCCA
rnacentral:lncRNA from 1 species